rnacentral:tRNA from 1 species
GUAGAUAUAGUUUAACAAAAACAUUAGACUGUGAAUCUAAUAAUAGAAACUUAAAAUUCCUUAUCUACC